rnacentral:rRNA from 1 species
GACGAACGCUGGCGGCGUGCUUAACACAUGCAAGUCGAACGGUGAAGCGCCUUCCUUUUUGGUGGGUGUGGAUGAGUGGCGAACGGGUGAGUAACACGUGAGUAACCUGCCCCCUUCUUCUGGAUAACCGCAUGAAAGUGUGGCUAAUACGGGAUAUUCUGGGUCUGUCGCAUGAUGGGUCUGGGAAAGAUAUUGUUUCGGUGGGGGAUGGGCUCGCGGCCUAUCAGCUUGUUGAUGGGGUGAUGGCCUACCAAGGCGGUGACGGGUAGCCGGCCUGAGAGGGUGGCCGGUCACACUGGGACUGAGACACGGCCCAGACUCCUACGGGAGGCAGCAGUGGGGAAUAUUGCACAAUGGGCGAAAGCCUGAUGCAGCGACGCCGCGUGAGGGAUGGAGGCCUUCGGGUUGUGAACCUCUUUCGCCAGUGAAGCAGGCCUGCCUCGUUUGUGGGUGGGUUGACGGUAGCUGGAUAAGAAGCGCCGGCUAACUACGUG